GACGAACGCUGGCGGCGUGCUUAACACAUGCCAGUCGAACGGACAGGCCCGGCUCUUGCGGGGCGCUCGAGUGGCGAACGGGUGAGUAACACGUGAGUAUCCUGCACUUGACUUUGGGAUAACUUCUGGAAACUGGGGCUAAUAUCGGAUAGGAUCUCCUGCUGCAUGGUGGGGGUUGGAAAGUUUCGGCGGUUGGGGAUGGACUCGCAGGUUAUCAGCUGGUUGGUGAGGUAGUGGCUUACCAAGGUUUUGACGGGUAGCAGGCCUGAGAGGGUGACCGGCGACAUUGGGACUGAGAUACGGCCCAGACUCCUACGGGAGGCAGCAGUGGGGAAUAUUGCGCAAUGGGGGGAAGCCUGAUGCAGCAGCGCCGCGUGCGGGAUGACGGCCUUCGGGUUGUAAACCGAUUUCGCCUGUGACGAAGCGUGAGUGACGGUAAUGGGUAAAAAAGCACCGGCUAACUACGUG
rnacentral:rRNA from 1 species